UACAGAGGGUGCGAGCGUUAAUCGGAAUUACUGGGCGUAAAGCGCACGUAGGCGGCUUGGUAUGUCGGGUGUGAAAUCCCCGGGCUCAACCUGAGAACUGCAUCCGAAACUGCCUUGCUCGAGUAUGGGAGAGGGAAGUGGAAUUUCCGGUGUAGCGGUGAAAUGCGUAGAUAUCGGAAGGAACAUCAGUGGCGAAGGCGACUUCCUGGACCAAUACUGACGCUCAGGUGCGAAAGCGUGGGGAGCAAACAGG
rnacentral:rRNA from 1 species